GAUGAACGCUAGCUACAGGCUUAACACAUGCAAGUCGAGGGGAAACGAUAGAGAAAGCUUGCUUUUUCUAGGCGUCGACCGGCGCACGGGUGAGUAACGCAUAUCCAACCUGCCCAUCACUUGGGGAUAACCUUGCGAAAGUAAGACUAAUACCCAAUGACGUCUCUAGAAGACAUCUGAAGGAGAUUAAAGAUUUAUCGGUGAUGGAUGGGGAUGCGUCUGAUUAGCUUGUUGGCGGGGUAACGGCCCACCAAGGCGACGAUCAGUAGGGGUUCUGAGAGGAAGGCCCCCCCACAUUGGAACUGAGACACGGUCCAAACUCCUACGGGAGGCAGCAGUGAGGAAUAUUGGUCAAUGGACGAGAGUCUGAACCAGCCAAGUAGCGUGCAGGAUGACGGCCCUAUGGGUUGUAAACUGCUUUUAUAAGGGAUAAAGUGGGAGUCGUGACUCUUUUUGCAUGUACCUUAUGAAUAGGACCGGCUAAUUCCGUGCCAGCAGCCG
rnacentral:rRNA from 1 species